CACGUAGGCACCAAGCGUUGUCCGGAUUUAUUGGGCGUAAAGAGCUCGUAGGCGGUUCGGUAAGUCGGGUGUGAAAACUUUGGGCUCAACCCAAAGCCUGCACUCGGUACUGCUGUGACUUGAGUCCGGUAGGGGAGUGGGGAAUUCCUGGUGUAGCGGUGGAAUGCGCAGAUAUCAGGAGGAACACCGGUGGCGAAGGCGCCACUCUGGGCCGGUACUGACGCUGAGGAGCGAAAGCGUGGGGAGCGAACAGG
rnacentral:rRNA from 1 species